rnacentral:rRNA from 1 species
GACGAACGCUGGCGGCGUGCUUAACACAUGCAAGUCGAACGGAAAGGCCCUGCUUUUGUGGGGUGCUCGAGUGGCGAACGGGUGAGUAACACGUGAGUAACCUGCCCUUGACUUUGGGAUAACUUCAGGAAACUGGGGCUAAUACCGGAUAGGAGCUCCUGCUGCAUGGUGGGGGUUGGAAAGUUUCGGCGGUUGGGGAUGGACUCGCGGCUUAUCAGCUUGUUGGUGGGGUAGUGGCUUACCAAGGCUUUGACGGGUAGCCGGCCUGAGAGGGUGACCGGCCACAUUGGGACUGGGAUACGGCCCAGACUCCUACGGGAGGCAGCAGUGGGGAAUAUUGCACAAUGGGCGGAAGCCUGAUGCAGCAACGCCGCAUGCGGGAUGACGGCCUUCGGGUUGUAAACCGCUUUCGCCUGUGACGAAGCGUGAGUGACGGUAAUGGGUAAAGAAGCACCGGCUAACUACGUG